rnacentral:rRNA from 1 species
GACAGAGGUGCCGAGCGUUAGGCGGAAUCACUGGGCUUAAAGCGUGUGUAGGCGGGCGGGCAAGUACCUUGUGAAAUCCCACGGCUCAACCGUGGAACGGCUGGGUAUACUGGCUGUCUUGAGCCAACUAGGGGCGAGCGGAACAGACGGUGGAGCGGUGAAAUGCGUAGAUAUCGUCUGGAACGCCAAAGGUGAAAACAGCUCGCUGGGGUUGUGCUGACGCUGAGACACGAAAGCCAGGGGAGCGAACGGG